CACAUGCAAGUCGAGGGGCAUCAUUGAAGAAAGCUUGCUUUCUUUGCUGGCGACCGGCGCACGGGUGAGUAACACGUAUCCAACCUGCCCUUUACUCGGGGAUAGCCUUUCGAAAGAAAGAUUAAUACCCGAUGGCAUAAUGAUUCCGCAUGGUUUCAUUAUUAAAGGAUUCCGGUAAAGGAUGGGGAUGCGUUCCAUUAGGUUGUUGGUGAGGUAACGGCUCACCAAGCCUUCGAUGGAUAGGGGUUCUGAGAGGAAGGUCCCCCACAUUGGAACUGAGACACGGUCCAAACUCCUACGGGAGGCAGCAGUGAGGAAUAUUGGUCAAUGGGCGCUAGCCUGAACCAGCCAAGUAGCGUGAAGGAUGAAGGCUCUUAUGGGUCGUAAACUUCUUUUAUAUAAGAAUAAAGUGCAGUAUGUAUACUGUUUUGUAUGUAUUAUAUGAAUAAGGAUCGGCUAACUCCGUGCCAGCAGCCGCGGUAAUACGGAGGAUCCGAGCGUUAUCCGGAUUUAUUGGGUUUAAAGGGAGCGUAGGUGGACUGGUAAGUCAGUUGUGAAAGUUUGCGGCUCAACCGUAAAAUUGCAGUUGAUACUGUCAGUCUUGAGUACAGUAGAGGUGGGCGGAAUUCGUGGUGUAGCGGUGAAAUGCUUAGAUAUCACGAAGAACUCCGAUUGCGAAGGCAGCUCACUGGACUGCAACUGACACUGAUGCUCGAAAGUGUGGGUAUCAAACAGGAUUAGAUACCCUGGUAGUCCACACAGUAAACGAUGAAUACUCGCUGUUUGCGAUAUACAGUAAGCGGCCAAGCGAAAGCAUUAAGUAUUCCACCUGGGGAGUACGCCGGCAACGGUGAAACUCAAAGGAAUUGACGGGGGCCCGCACAAGCGGAGGAACAUGUGGUUUAAUUCGAUGAUACGCGAGGAACCUUACCCGGGCUUAAAUUGCAGUGGAAUGAUGUGGAAACAUGUCAGUGAGCAAUCACCGCUGUGAAGGUGCUGCAUGGUUGUCGUCAGCUCGUGCCGUGAGGUGUCGGCUUAAGUGCCAUAACGAGCGCAACCCUUAUCUUUAGUUACUAACAGGUCAUGCUGAGGACUCUGGAGAGACUGCCGUCGUAAGAUGUGAGGAAGGUGGGGAUGACGUCAAAUCAGCACGGCCCUUACGUCCGGGGCUACACACGUGUUACAAUGGGGGGUACAGAAGGCAGCUAGCGGGUGACCGUAUGCUAAUCCCAAAAUCCUCUCUCAGUUCGGAUCGAAGUCUGCAACCCGACUUCGUGAAGCUGGAUUCGCUAGUAAUCGCGCAUCAGCCACGGCGCGGUGAAUACGUUCCCGGGCCUUGUACACACCGCCCGUCAAGCCAUGGGAGCCGGGGGUACCUGAAGUACGUAACCGC
rnacentral:rRNA from 1 species